UACGGAGGAUGCGAGCGUUAUCCGGAUUUAUUGGGUUUAAAGGGUGCGUAGGUGGUUUUUUAAGUCAGUGGUGAAAGUUUGUCGCUCAACGAUAAAAUUGCCAUUGAAACUGGGGAACUUGAGUAUGUUUGAAGUAGGCGGAAUGCGUAGUGUAGCGGUGAAAUGCUUAGAUAUUACGCAGAACUCCGAUUGCGAAGGCAGCUUACUAAACCAUAACUGACACUGAAGCACGAAAGCGUGGGUAUCAAACAGG
rnacentral:rRNA from 1 species